UGAAAGACUCACCAGAAAAUUUAAAAAAGAAAAGGCUAUACCUACUGGCUUACUUCUGAUUGCUUUGCCACUUACUAGUCGUGUCAUCUUCUUCAAUAUGUCUUUGUUCAAUGACUGAACGACUGAAUGAACACAUGACGAGAAAGAGACUUUUGAACCUGUGGAGUCCAGAGGCUGUGAAAUGCAGAGAUGUGCAACCCCAGGACAAGUGGCUCAGACCAUUUAUCUAUCAGAGGAUUCAUGGAAAGGACUCAGUGUUUACCAGGAUACUUCCAAGGUGCCCUAUCCGUAUAGAGUGGAACUUUAAAACCGGAGAAAAAGUCCAACGAAAUAAGUCAAGUGGAAUAUGUUGUCUUCUACCAUAUUUAGGCAGAGAUCUUGACUAAUUAAUCUUCAAAGAAGUGAAAAUAAUCUACUCUUGAACUUAAUUAUGCAAAUAAAACAAUUCUAAUUUCGGAAA
rnacentral:lncRNA from 1 species